ACAUGCUAACUGUGACAAUAUCCUAUAUUUCUCAUUCAUUCUUUUAUCAUGUGCUGAUAUAACACUGUUUAAAGAAAUAUAUUUCAUGAGUUGUGAAAACUGCUACAUUCCUCCAAAGCACAAGAGUACAUGAUUUAAAUAGAGAGAGUCACUUUGCAUUGUCACACAUGCUUCAGUGCUCUGAGAGUGUUUAUAGUGCUGUGAGUUUAACACUUCAUGACUGAGAGCAGAACAGAACACAAUCUUCAUCAUCACACAAGACAAAAGAACAACAAUGAACAAAAUCACCUUCUUCAUCUGGACUCUGACUGUGUGUAUUCAAGGUUUCAGUGGACAGGUGACUGUGACUCAGACUCCUUCUGUAAAAAUGGUUCAGAUUGGUGAAUCAGUCACUAUAAACUGCAAAACAAACACAGCAGUGGUUGAUGGCUGUACAGGUUCAUAUACUUGUAUGGCCUGGUACCAGCAGAAACCUGGAGAAG